GGGGCUGUGGCUCAGUGGUUGAGCACUUGCCUCAUGUGCAUGAGGCACUGGGUUCAAUCCUUGGCACCA
rfam:Ictidomys tridecemlineatus contig028103, whole genome shotgun sequence.